UCAGUAAGAGGAAGUUUUCGGAUGGAAUCUUAUUGAUUUAGCGGCGGACGGGUGAGUAACGCGUGAGCGACCAACCUUGCACAGGGGGAUAACGGACCGAAAGGUUCACUAAUACCGCAUGAGACCACAGUGUUGCAUGACACAGAGGUCAAAGGAGGAAUCCGGUGCAAGACGGGCUCGCGUCCGAUUAGGUAGUUGGCGGGGUAACGGCCCACCAAGCCUAUGAUCGGUAGCCGACCUGAGAGGGUGAUCGGCCACAUUGGAACUGAGAUACGGUCCAAACUCCUACGGGAGGCAGCAGUGGGGAAUAUUGGGCAAUGGGGGAAACCCUGACCCAGCAACGCCGCGUGAAGGAAGAAGGUUUUCGGAUUGUAAACUUCUGUCCUUGGUGAAGAGAAGAAGACGGUAGCCAAGGAGGAAGCCCCGGCUAACUACGUGCCAGCAGCCGCGGUAAUACGUAGGGGGCAAGCGUUGUCCGGAAUGACUGGGCGUAAAGGGCGUGUAGGCGGCCGAUUAAGUCUGGAGUGAAAGUCCUGCUUUCAAGGUGGGAAUUGCUUUGGAGACUGGUUGGCUUGAGUGCGGAAGAGGCAAGUGGAAUUCCCAGUGUAGCGGUGAAAUGCGUAGAGAUUGGGAGGAACACCAGUGGCGAAGGCGACUUGCUGGGCCGUAACUGACGCUGAGGCGCGAAAGCGUGGGGAGCGAACAGGAUUAGAUACCCUGGUAGUCCACGCUGUAAACGAUGAAUGCUAGGUGUAGGGGGUAUCGACCCCUCCUGU
rnacentral:rRNA from 1 species